rnacentral:rRNA from 1 species
CAGCAGCCGCGGGAAUACAGAGGGUGCAAGCGUUAAUCGGAAUUACUGGGCGUAAAGCGCGCGUAGGUGGUUUGUUAAGUUGGAUGUGAAAGCCCCGGGCUCAACCUGGGAACUGCAUCCAAAACUGGCAAGCUAGAGUACGGUAGAGGGUGGUGGAAUUUCCUGUGUAGCGGUGAAAUGCGUAGAUAUAGGAAGGAACACCAGUGGCGAAGGCGACCACCUGGACUGAUACUGACACUGAGGUGCGAAAGCGUGGGGAGCAAACAGGAUUAGAUACCCGUGUAGUCCCUGUCUCUUAUAC